UAUCAAUGAUAUGGACAUACACUCAUCAGCUCCUUGAAUCACUCUCAUGCUUCGAAGAAUAAUUCAUUGUCUGUCUGCCUAAUGUAGGUAAUCUUGUUCCUAAGUUG